GCUUUCGUGCUGUAGUGGUCAGCAUACUCGGCGCGCAAUCGAGAGGUCCCUGGUUCGAGUCCCGGCGAGGGCA